rnacentral:rRNA from 1 species
UACGGGGGGUGCGAGCGUUGUCCGGAAUCACUGGGCGUAAAGGGCGCGUAGGUGGUUUUGUAAGUUUGUGGUGAAAGCCCGGGGCUCAACCCCGUGUCUGCCAUGGAUACUGCGAGACUAGAGUGCUGUAGGGGCUGGUAGAAUGUCGGGUGUAGCGGUGGAAUGCGUAGAGAUCCGACGGAAGACCGGUGGCGAAGGCGGCCAGCUGGGCAGCAACUGACACUGAGGCGCGACAGCGUGGGGAGCAAACAGG